GUACACGCUGUGACUAGCAUAUCAAUAAGCGGAGGAAAAGAAACUAACGAGGAUUCCCUCAGUAACGGCGAGUGAAGCGGGAAGAGCUCAAAUUUGAAAUCUUGAAAGGUCACCUUUCACGAAUUGUAGUUUAAAGAAGUGUUUUCUGUUACGAUCGUAAUACAAGUUCUUUGGAAUAGGACAUCACAGAGGGUGAGAAUCCCGUCUAUGAUUGCGAUUUGUAGCUUUGUGAUACACUUUCAAAGAGUCGGGUUGUUUGGGAAUGCAGCCCAAAACGGGAGGUAAAUUUCUUCUAAGGCUAAAUAUUGGCGAGAGACCGAUAGCGAACAAGUACCGUGAGGGAAAGAUGAAAAGAACUUUGAAAAGAGAGUUAAAUAGUACGUGAAAUUGUCAAAAGGGAAGCGUUUGACACCAGUGUUGUUUUUCUGAAAAUCAAUUAAAGAACUGUUUAUGCUAAGCUGUUUAGACUUUAUCAGCUAUCUGUUUAGUUUUAGGCUUUUCUUUAAUGCACUUUUCAGUUAACAAGUCAACAUCAAUUUCUUUUGCUGUAAAAAAGCUUGAGGAAGGUGGCUUGAGAUUCGUCUUAAGUGUUUAUAGCCUCUUGCCUAUGCAGUCGGAGAGAUUGAGGUCUGCAGCGUAGAUCCUUCGGGGCUAAAUGCAUUUGUGCUAAGUUAUAGCAUUUUAUAGACAACUUGUUGACUAUGAUUUGUCUUGUAGCUUACUCGCUUAUGCUAUUUUACCUACGCUUAGGAUAUUGACGCAUGAGAUAUACGC
rnacentral:rRNA from 1 species